CCAGACUCCUACGGGAGGCAGCAGUGGGGGAUAUUGCACAAUGGGGGAAACCCUGAUGCAGCAACGCCGCGUGAGUGAGGAAGUAUUUCGGUAUGUAAAGCUCUAUCAGCAGGGAAUAGAAAAGAAGGUACCUGAAAAAGAAGCCCCGGCUAACUACGUGCCAGCAGCCGCGGUAAUACGUAGAUGGCAAGCGUUGUCCGGAUUUACUGGGUGUAAAGGGCGUGCAGCCGGAGAGACAAGUCAGAUGUGAAAUCCACGGGCUCAACCCGUGAACUGCAUUUGAAACUGUUUCCCUUGAGUGUCGGAGAGGUAAUCGGAACUCCUUGUGUAGCGGUGAAAUGCGUAGAUAUAAGGAAGAACACCAGUGGCGAAGGCGGAUUACUGGACGAUAACUGACGGUGAGGCGCGAAAGCGUGGGGAGCAGACAGGAUUAGAUACCCCCGUAA
rnacentral:rRNA from 1 species